AGUGGGAUUUCUGGGUCAGAUGGUGGUUCCAUUCUUAGUUUUUUGAAACAUGUCCAAAAUGUUUUCCAAAGUGGUUGCACUAAUUUGUAGUUCCACCAGCAAU
rnacentral:pre_miRNA from 1 species